rnacentral:rRNA from 1 species
UACGGAGGGUGCAAGCGUUGUUCGGAUUUACUGGGCGUAAAGCGCACGUAGGCGGAUCGUUAAGUCGGGGGUGAAAUCCUGGAGCUCAACUCCAGAACUGCCUUCGAUACUGGCGAUCUUGAGUCCGGAAGAGGUGAGUGGAACUCCUAGUGUAGAGGUGGAAUUCGUAGAUAUUAGGAAGAACACCAGUGGCGAAGGCGGCUCACUGGUCCGGUACUGACGCUGAGGUGCGAAAGCGUGGGGAGCAAACAGG